rnacentral:rRNA from 1 species
CCGGGCUGUCGCCGUCCUCAAGGACGUGCACGCCCGGANUGCUCUCUCACAAUCCAUCUCACCCCUUUGUGCAUCACCGCGUGGGACCCUCCUCUUUCCGGAGAAGGGGGGUUUCACGUUUCUACAAAAACGACCCAUUGAUGCAUGUGUAGAAUGUCUUACAUUUUGCGGUCACACGCAAUCAAUACAACUUUCAACAACGGAUCUCUUGGCUCUCGCAUCGAUGAAGAACGCAGCGAAAUGCGAUACGUAAUGUGAAUUGCAGAAUUCAGUGAAUCAUCGAAUCUUUGAACGCACCUUGCACCCCUUGGUAUUCCGAGGGGUGCACCCGUUUGAGUGUCGUGAACACCCUCAACCUUCCAUGGUUUAUCGAUCAGGAAGGCUUGGACUUUGGAUGUUGCUGGCCUCGUUUGAAGCCAGCUCCUCCUAAAUGAAUUAGUGGGGUCUGUCGUGCCGAUCCUCGACGUGAUAAGUACGCUUCUACGUCUCGGUGUUGGCCCGGAAUCCUGCUUCCAAUCGUCUUUGAAUGGAGACAAAUGGUUCGAGUUUGUGACUCGAGCUUUAUAAACCUUGACCUCAAAUCGGGUGANACUACCCGCUGAACUUAAGCAUAUCAAUAAGCGGANGANAAGAAACUAACAAGGAUUCCCCUAGUAACUGCGAGUGAAGCGGGAAAAGCUCAAAUUUAAAAUCUGGUGGUCUUUGGCCAUCCGAGUUGUAAUUUAGAGAAGCGUCUUCUGCGCUGGACCGUGUAC